rnacentral:rRNA from 1 species
AGAGUUUGAUCAUGGCUCAGAUUGAACGCUGGCGGCAGGCCUAACACAUGCAAGUCGAACGGUAACAGGAAGCAGCUUGCUGCUUCGCUGACGAGUGGCGGACGGGUGAGUAAUGUCUGGGAAACUGCCUGAUGGAGGGGGAUAACUACUGGAAACGGUGGCUAAUACCGCAUAACGUCGCAAGACCAAAGAGGGGGACCUUCGGGCCUCUUGCCAUCAGAUGUGCCCAGAUGGGAUUAGCUUGUUGGUGAGGUAACGGCUCACCAAGGCGACGAUCCCUAGCUGGUCUGAGAGGAUGACCAGCCACACUGGAACUGAGACACGGUCCAGACUCCUACGGGAGGCAGCAGUGGGGAAUAUUGCACAAUGGGCGCAAGCCUGAUGCAGCCAUGCCGCGUGUAUGAAGAAGGCCUUCGGGUUGUAAAGUACUUUCAGCGGGGAGGAAGGUGUUGCGGUUAAUAACCGCAGCAAUUGACGUUACCCGCAGAAGAAGCACCGGCUAACUCCGUGCCAGCAGCCGCGGUAAUACGGAGGGUGCAAGCGUUAAUCGGAAUUACUGGGCGUAAAGCGCACGCAGGCGGUCUGUCAAGUCGGAUGUGAAAUCCCCGGGCUCAACCUGGGAACUGCAUUCGAAACUGGCAGGCUUGAGUCUUGUAGAGGGGGGUAGAAUUCCAGGUGUAGCGGUGAAAUGCGUAGAGAUCUGGAGGAAUACCGGUGGCGAAGGCGGCCCCCUGGACAAAGACUGACGCUCAGGUGCGAAAGCGUGGGGAGCAAACAGGAUUAGAUACCCUGGUAGUCCACGCCGUAAACGAUGUCUACUUGGAGGUUGUGCCCUUGAGGCGUGGCUUCCGGAGCUAACGCGUUAAGUAGACCGCCUGGGGAGUACGGCCGCAAGGUUAAAACUCAAAUGAAUUGACGGGGGCCCGCACAAGCGGUGGAGCAUGUGGUUUAAUUCGAUGCAACGCGAAGAACCUUACCUGGUCUUGACAUCCACAGAACUUUCCAGAGAUGGAUUUGUGCCUUCGGGAACUGUGAGACAGGUGCUGCAUGGCUGUCGUCAGCUCGUGUUGUGAAAUGUUGGGUUAAGUCCCGCAACGAGCGCAACCCUUAUCCUUUGUUGCCAGCGAUUAGGUCGGGAACUCAAAGGAGACUGCCAGUGAUAAACUGGAGGAAGGUGGGGAUGACGUCAAGUCAUCAUGGCCCUUACGACCAGGGCUACACACGUGCUACAAUGGCGCAUACAAAGAGAAGCGACCUCGCGAGAGCAAGCGGACCUCAUAAAGUGCGUCGUAGUCCGGAUUGGAGUCUGCAACUCGACUCCAUGAAGUCGGAAUCGCUAGUAAUCGUGGAUCAGAAUGCCACGGUGAAUACGUUCCCGGGCCUUGUACACACCGCCCGUCACACCAUGGGAGUGGGUUGCAAAAGAAGUAGGUAGCUUAACCUUCGGGAGGGCGCUUACCACUUUGUGAUUCAUGACUGGGGUGAAGUCGUAACAAGGUAACCGUAGGGGAACCUGCGGUUG